rnacentral:rRNA from 1 species
UGAAUACGAGACGCUAAGGCGUCGAAGUAGUGUAUGUCAUACUUCCAAGAAAAGCUUGCACUGUCAUAAAUAGAAAAUGCCUGUACCAUAACCGACACAGGUGGGUAGGUAGAGUAUACUAAGGGGCGCGAGAUAACUCUCUCUAAGGAACUCGGCAAAAUGACUCCGUAACUUCGGGAGAAGGAGUGCCUUAUUUUUAAGGUUGCAAUAACAAGAUCCAAGCAACUGUUUAUCAAAAACACAGGUCUCCGCUAAGUCGUAAGACGAUGUAUGGGGGCUGACGCCUGCCCAGUGCCAGAAGGUUAAAGAAGUUGGUUAGCAUUAGCGAAGCUGAUAACUGAAGCCCUGGUGAACGGCGGCCGUAACAAUAACGGUCCUAAGGUAGCGAAAUUCCUUGUCGGGUAAGUUCCGACCCGCACGAAAGGCGUAAUGAUUUGGAUACUGUCUCGGAGAGGGGCUCGGUGAAAUAGACUUGUCUGUGAAGAUGCGGACUACCUGCACCUGGACAGAAAGACCCUAUGAAGCUUUACUGUAACCUGAAAUUGAAAUUGGACUUUAGUCGCGCAGCAUAGGUGGGAGGCGUUGAUGAUGUUCUUGCGGGAACAUUGGAGCUAUCAGUGAGAUACCACUCUUCUAAUGUUAGAUUUCUAACUUUGAACCAUUAUCUGGUCAGAGAACAGUUUCAGGCGGGCAGUUUGACUGGGGCGGUCGCCUCCCAAAUGGUAACGGAGGCGUACAAAGGUUUCCUCUGAACGGAUAGAAAUCGUAUCUAGAGUGUAAAGGCAUAAGGAAGCUUGACUGUGAGACCUACAAGUCGAGCAGGGACGAAAGUCGGUCUUAGUGAUCUGACGGUACUGAGUGGAAAGGCCGUCACUCAACGGAUAAAAGUUACUCUAAGGAUAACAGGCUGAUCUCCCCCAAGAGUUCACAUCGACGGGGAGGUUUGGCACCUCGAUGUCGGCUCAUCGCAUCCUGGGGCGGUAGUACGUCCCAAGGGUUGGGCUGUUCGCCCAUGAAAGCGGUACGCGAGCUGGGUUCAGAACGUCGUGAGACAGUUCGGUCCAUAUCCGGUGUAGGCGUUAGAAUAUUGAGAGGAGCCUUCUCUAGUACGAGAGGACCGAGAAGGACAUACCUCUGGUGUACCAGUUAUCGUGCCAACGGUAAACGCUGGGUAGCUAUGUAUGGAGUGGAUAACCGCUGAAAGCAUCUAAGUGGGAAGCCCACCUCAAGAUGAGUAUUCUC